UUUAAACAUAUUUUUGAAUCUACCCGCCUGGGCGAAUGGUAAAUUGUUUCACAACAAAAUAAUAAGUGCAACAGUCUGGCAGCACUUUGAAUAGAAACGGAUCGAAACAAAAUGGCGAAACAAAUUGGUAAUGAAACAUUGGCUUGUCACUUUUGACUGCUUGUCUGUGUGUGUGUGUGUGUGUGUGUGUGUUUGACUAACUCUGUCCAUGUGUGUGUGUGUUUGUUUCCUCUAGCUGCUGUCACAUUGCAUAUGCUGUGCACAAAACCC